rnacentral:rRNA from 1 species
GGAUCCAGACUUUGAUUAUGGCUCAGGACGAACGCUGGCGGCGCGCCUAACACAUGCAAGUCGAACGGAGAUUACAGGCGGAAGUUUUCGGAUGGAAGCUUGUAAACUUAGUGGCGGACGGGUGAGUAACACGUGAGCAACCUGCCUAUCAGAGGGGGAUAACGAUUGGAAACGAUCGCUAAUACCGCAUGACAUAGCGGAACCGCAUGGUUCUGCUAUCAAAGAUUUUAUCGCUGAUGGAUGGGCUCGCGUCCGAUUAGAUAGUUGGUGGGGUAACGGCCUACCAAGUCGACGAUCGGUAGCCGGACUGAGAGGUCGAACGGCCACAUUGGGACUGAGACACGGCCCAGACUCCUACGGGAGGCAGCAGUGGGGGAUAUUGCACAAUGGGGGAAACCCUGAUGCAGCGACGCCGCGUGAGGGAAGACGGUCCUCUGGAUUGUAAACCUCUGUCUUCGGGGACGAAAGUAGACGGUACCCGAGGAGGAAGCCACGGCUAACUACGUGCCAGCAGCCGCGGUAAUACGUAGGUGGCAAGCGUUGUCCGGAAUUACUGGGUGUAAAGGGAGCGUAGGCGGGCAGGCAAGUCAGGCGUGAAAUAUAUCGGCUCAACCGGUAACGGCGCUUGAAACUGCAGGUCUUGAGUGAAGUAGAGGUUGGCGGAAUUCCUAGUGUAGCGGUGAAAUGCGUAGAUAUUAGGAGGAACACCAGUGGCGAAGGCGGCCAACUGGGCUUUUACUGACGCUGAGGCUCGAAAGUGUGGGGAGCAAACAGGAUUAGAUACCCUGGUAGUCCACACCGUAAACGAUGAUUACUAGGUGUGGGGGGACUGACCCCUUCCGUGCCGGAGUUAACACAAUAAGUAAUCCACCUGGGGAGUACGGCCGCAAG